ACUCAGGAGCAGAAGGACCCGCGGACACCGAAGUGGCAGCGAGCCUGGCGCUAUUUCCGAAUCCGAGUUCCCCUGUGAAGUCAGCAGCGCACGCCCACCCGGGAAUCUGAGAACAGCGGAGUGAAAUGAAGGUGUCGGUUCGCUUCCGGGACCGGAACUCCGAGGCCCUGGGGCUGGGAUGCCGCUGAGCAGUUCUCGGGCGCACGUGCAGGGACCCUCAGCUGAAACAUACUCUUCUUUGUGAGAUAAACAGCAGGAGCUGGGAGAUGGUCAGGCUCACAGGAGGUCCCCCGCCACCACCUGUCAGCCGCCCCUCCCUUCACCCAGCCCUUGGGGGGCAGUGACGGGGAGGUCCCAGAAUGCCUCCAGUGCUUUCUCAGGCGGGCUCGUUUCUCAGGACCUCACUGCGGUGGAAGGAAGAUGGAUCUCUCCAUCCACCCCCUGCUUGCUUCUCCCGGAGGACUCUGAACAAGGCAGCGAAGUGAAUCACGCCAGCCCCUGAGCGGCCCGCUGAGAGACCCGUUCGCAUUCGGCCGAGCGGUCUUCGGGAAGGAGAGAUGCGGCCCUUCCGUGCCAAGGCCAUUCCCUGGCGCGACGGCUGGACUUGAGUCACGUGGCCUUUGCCUGGUCACUAGGUCCCGGGGCGCGGGGAGAGAGCCUGCCUGAGCCAGCGAACGUCUCGGGCACGCAGCGAUACAAAGGCACUUAGUGGACGUAACCAUCGCUGGACUCCUGUUCGUGCCCGCACAGAGCUGCCCUUGCGCC